rnacentral:rRNA from 1 species
GUUACUUCGGUACAUCGGUGACAGGUGGUGCAUGGUUGUCGUCAGCUCGUGUCGUGAGAUGUUGGGUUAAGUCCCGCAACGAGCGCAACCCCUAUUGUUAGUUGCCAUCAUUCAGUUGGGCACUCUAGCGAGACUGCCGGUAAUAAACCGGAGGAAGGUGGGGAUGACGUCAAACCAUCAUGCCCCUUAUGACCUGGGCUACACACGUGCUACAAUGGUUGGUACAACGAGUUGCGAGUCGGUGACGGCGAGCUAAUCUCUUAAAGCCAAUCUCAGUUCGGAUUGUAGGCUGCAACUCGCCUACAUGAAGUCGGAAUCGCUAGUAAUCGCGGAUCAGCACGCCGCGGUGAAUACGUUCCCGGGCCUU